CAGUUUGUUAUGAGCAUUUUGGAUGGAGUAUUAGCUGUAAAAUCCUAGUACCACGUAAAAUAAGACAGGACAUGUUCUCAAAAGGUCAUCAAGACACUGUCUUCCCUAAAGAUUACUAUUCUAUGCUAAAACUAAUUUUUGUUUAACCUGCCCCAUUGAAGUCUACACUGACUGGAAUUUUUUAACCUCUUUACGUACUAUUUCCAUUAUCCAUUACUUCUAUGUUUGAAAAGAUAUUUCCAACAGCAUCUUUGCUUCAUAGCUUGUAGAUAAUUUGAUUUAAAGGAUUAUGUAUUUCUGUUAUCAAGAAUUUUGCUACUGAGUGUGAGGCUUGUUUAUAAUAAUCAUACUCUAUUUUUGAGUAUUACCACUUGCUUCUAUUGUGCCUCUUCAUUUUCUGAUAAUACCUUUACCCUGGGACAAAAUUUACACAUUUUCAUUGGCCUUUAUUUGUCAGUUGACAGUUAUCAAAUAAGUACUGGGGGGAAAAUAAACCAAAAACAAGGAAAGAAAAAACAAAACCCUACAACCCAUAAAAAAUGUGGCCCUGAAGUUUUUAGUUAGCACACAUCUGAAAACUAGAAACAAUGUAUGCAGGCGAUAUAUGAAUAUGCAGCAGACCAUGAGAAAUGAUCCUUUAUUUUCUGCAAAGACCAGCAAAAACAAAUAAAGCAAGCUUGCUAAUUGUCUGUCUGUCUUAUAUUUUCCUAUUCAAUACAAGUUUCAGGAUCACUGCAGCUUGAAUUUUCUUUGCAUUACUAGAUGGAAUACCAGAAAAGACAUAAUUAAAAGGGUCGGGGCAAUAACAGUUCCUGUGUUAAAAAUCAAUGGCAUUACCACUUAGCUGUAAGUGACUAACAAGACCUUCAAUGUUUUGCCACAAGUUUAUCACCCCCUGAGAAAAAACUAUUUGAGCAGUCAACUUUUUUCUCUUUAGAUGGUUUCAAGUAAAAAUUCGGAGUUACGAGCCUUAUUGUACUGUACUGUGAACACAGAAUAAUUCCUGCAGAGAACAGUUGAAGUAAAUUAUGUUAGUUGGUUGCAUCCCAGUGAGACAGAAGCAAAACAAGGCAUCUAAGCAGUACAGAGCUGCUCAUUCACUCUCCAGCAGUGGAUGAGGAAGAGAAUGAGAAGUGGAAAAAUGCAAAAAACAUAUAUAAAUAAUGUAUCUGAAAAAGGUAGAAGAAGGAACAGAUCAAAUCAAGGUACAGACAUGGGACUGCUUUAGUGUGUCAAGAUUCCUCCAAAAACUGGGAAUCCUUGCAAAAACAAUCUAAUAAGGUUAGCUGGAAUUACAGAUGUCUGUUUACAGUAAGUUAACAUAUGUGUAUAGAAAUGUUAAACAUUGGAGGAUUUUCCUUUGAUUUGCUUGUAUAUGCAUCAACUUAUCUGUGCAUAAUAAGACCUUUCUGUGUGCCAGAAAGCCUUUGAUGUAAACAGCAGCUAUUGGAAUACUUUUCUGUUACCUUGGUUUGUACAAUACCAGCUCUUCAAGGGAAUGCAGUGGUUUAGCUUUAGAACAUUAAGAAUGUGCUGCAGCUAAGGUACUAACUGCUUAAGGUGACCCAGAGACUGCUUUACAAUUCUGGCAUACUCUUAGAAAAAAUAGAAUGCCAUUUUGCUGUGAGGGUUGCUGAACCACCAAAAAGAAAAAAAAAAAAUCAAACUAGAUUAAACUAGCUUGCAGAUACUUUCUUAAAAAUAUUCAUAAUACCCCCUAUAUGAAUACUUGUAAGAGAGAAGUGGUGCUGUAAUGGAAGAAAGUCUGGUUAUUCUAUUUCCAGGCAGUCCUUAGCAGAUAUCUCCCAGUCUUUCUUGUUUUAAUGACCCACUGUGUUCUUUCUCAUUUCUACUUACAUCUUCCAGCAUUAACUAUUUUUAAUGUUCAUCAAUAAAAUCUCUCAUUGAAUACAGGCAUUCUUGAAGAGCUGAUGUCAUAGAAUAAACUCAGGAUCACAGAGUGCACAUUCAAGUAGAAUUUAAUCUUACGUCAUAUCCUUUCUCCCAUUAUUUUUGGAAGAGUUUUCAAAUUUCCUAUGGCCUAUAUCCCCUAUGAGUUCUUCUAGUGGGCCACAAAAAUGCAGCCUUUCAUAUAAAAUUUCCUCCAUUCUUGUUGUGUUACUUUCUUAGACAAAGUAGAUGUUGGUUAACAUUUUUUUUGUUAGGAUAGGAAGGGCAGCCAUUGGCAUUUUAGUAAGUAACAAACCUGCAUUUCAAUGUGAUGUAAACUAUUUUUUCCUUUUGGUGAAUGCUUGUUGUGUUUCAGCAUUAAAUGUGUCUUGCACCAAACUGUACAUUAAACUGUAGGAACACUAAAUAAGAUAAAUACAACUAGUUCAUAACUAGUUUCUGAAUAAGUAUGUUUACAUUGCUCAGUAAUGGCACAUUCUAGCCAGAUUUACACUAUAAAAGCUUGGCCAUGGAUCUUUCCUGUGGCUCUAUUGUGGCCCUCCAGUCUUAAUAUGUAUCAACAGAAACAUCAACAGCACUCUGGAAAAACGUGGUAUCUUGAGAAGAAUACAGAAAAUUGAAAAUUUUCUCUUACUAUAACAUAAUCCAGCAUCUCAUGGAUGGGUCUUGGCAGUACAAUAGCAAUCCCUACAUUACCUAAAAGUGCAAAAGAUGUGCUAGACCUUUCUUCACAGUUUCAGUGCAAAGGUAUAGGAAACUGAAUUGGAGUUGCUGAAAUGCUACUGUUCUCUAGUUAAGACUAAGUGAAGAAAUCUCCCUUAAUACCCUUCUCCCUCUUUCCCAAGCUUCUUUUUCCUUGAUCUGCCUCAGCCCCCUUUCAGUGUCUUUACAAUUUGCCCGAAAGAUCCCCUAAGUCUUCAAUAUCCCCACAAAGUCCUUAAACAUUCUUCUGUAAAUUUCCACACAAUUCUCAAAUACUCUUUGUCCUUUAUACUAUAAAUCUAAAGUCCUCAUAGGCAACAAAACUCUGGUCUGCAAAGAAUUCUGUGAAGAGAAUGUUUUUGGUUGACUACUGCUGUAUGGAACUCACAUCGGGGACAAUCUUGUUGUUUGCCUUUGUUAGUCUUAGACCAGCUGGUUCCACAUGGUCCAUUUUCCUUGAUUAGAUUCCUAAAUUUUCUCCACCUGCCAUUGUUUAUCUGACCUUUAAUGGAUCUUUGUAUUUUUGACCCUUAUCAAUGUAACAUAGUACUAUUUUUCUAAGGAUUAAACCUAAUCUAUAAUAAUUCAGCUGUUUAACUAAAGAAAAUUAAACCAGCCAGCCAAAAGCAAAUGGAAGAAAAUCUUUGUGAAAGACCUCAACAGAAAAAGCAUCUGGGGAAU